ensembl:piRNA 21ur-3211 ncRNA
UGCCAAGUAAAAAGUUUCUAA